UCAUCAGUAAGGUAUAUUCUUACUGUUCCUCCUCUGGGAGAACAGAAUAUGAUGAAUAGAGAGUGUGUGAGACAUGAUUAGAGUCUCCUCUGGCCAGGGAACAACACUCCAGUCUGUUCCUAUUAAA